rnacentral:lncRNA from 1 species
AUGCAAGAUAAAUGGGCAUCUCCUGGCACACCUGGGCUGCCGAGAGCCAGGAGCCUCUUCCAGCUCCUCUCUGCAAACCCUCUCCUGUCCCCAGAGCCCCCUUGCUCUGGCAGUUUUACCUGGGAACCAGCCCCUGUCCCUGCCCGGCCUCUGCUGCCGAGGUCAAGCGCAGUGAGAUGCCGGAGCCCAAAUAACGUCCUGGAAGCAGCUGGAGUGCCGGAUUUCCAUCCUCACCGCCCGACCUUUGCAGCAGGGAAGGAUGCCAGCAAACAUCCCUUCUCCUCUUCCUCUGGGUCUUCUCACUCAGCACAGGGACGGAGCUGUGGGGUGCAGCCUGCUGAGGAUGAGCCUGAAUCCAAAUAUCCCAAAUCCACGACAGCUUUGUGCCUGAGCCUCGGGGUCAGCUCAGCUCCUUUUCCGUGUGAAAUUACCCAAGUCCUGCUCCUUCCCGGGGCCUCAGCUCCCCGCCUGUGCCCUGGGAUGUUAUUUGAGGCAGGGGGGCGGAUAGAUGUAGUGACGCUUGAAAGAUGCUGAGACGUGGCUGAUGGGGCGAGGAGCAGAUAAACGCACUGUUAGUGCUGGGGUGCGGCUUGGGUUCCUCCUACUCCAACCUACCCGCGAUAACUAGCCGUAACAUAUAGGAGAAGGCUGCGGCCAUUGCACUGGAUGAUUUUGGGGUCUCCUGGGCACACCCCAGCCAGGGCACGUCUGCGGGAUGGCCGGGGCUGAGGGCAGCAUCCUUCAUUGACGUGCUCUGCCUGGCCCGAGUGUUGACAAGUCCAGGGCUCCUGCAGCAGCAUCGCCCAGGGCAUCGCCACGUCCUCCGCCUUCAGCAGCUGCCCACGAUGCGGGGAUCGGGGCCGGCCCCCGCAGUGCCUGAGGAAGGAAGAAGAGGUGGAUGGAAAUGAGAUUUGUCUUCCCACAAGGGCCGUGUGGAGCUGGAACUGUUAUGGCUCAUUUCGAAAUGAAAAGGCAAUCUCCGAAUAUUGCGUUUCUGUGAAAUAUUCCGUCCCAGCUUUAGCUGAAGCACUUCACUUCAGCUUUUAUUUUUGUUACUUCAACAUUAGCAAGCACUAAUGCUGGGCAAUUUAGAGCAGAACCUAAAUGCCAAACCAAAACACUGAUGAGUUUGUGCUGAGAAGUUUGACGGUACUUCUGAGAAACCUCCGGCUGCUCUGCUGAGCCUGUUGGGAUGGGAAGGCACUUGGUGCUUUUUGGGAUAAUUCUUUCCAGGCUCUCCUCUCCUCCAUCAGGAUCCUUUCCUUGGUCCCUGGUGUGAGCGAGCAACCGAAGUGACAGGCGGAUGCGUGCCUCCAGAGCAAAGCCCCCUCUCCUGAGCAUCGCUGGCUGCUCCAAACCAGGGCGCUGACCCCCCCCGGGCAGCACACGGGUACGUUCAUACCGGGAGCGAGCGCUGGCACUCGCCUCUUCCCGCUUCCUUCUGCAGGGUGAUGAUGUGCAGUGCGAGUCCUGCCUUCCGCAGGCACCGGGUGCGAUUAGGAACAGCCCCGGUACAGAUUUCCUCCCCCAGCUCGCGCUGAUGCAGUGGUGCCGGAGCUGGGAGCGAAAUGUUGAGGUGCUGCUGGGCUCCCCGCCCCCCCUGUGCUGGGACUCUAGGAAUGUAAAUGUUCUCUUUCAGAAAUAUUUUCGGCCAGGCGUGCUCUCAUGGCUGUGUUUUUGUGGCCCUCCAGUUGCACAAAGCUUCGCCUUUUGGCCCCAAGUUACCGCCCUGAUGUUCCCCUUGACUGGAAGAGGUUUCUGUUUGGUUGUCUGGGAGGAAGGAAUAAUUCCCGAAACUGUGAGCAGGAUGGAGCUCUGCGACCCGUGGGCCCGGUCAUGCGGGGAAGGAUUGCUUUACAUGGCAGUGGAGGAGGGAGCCCAUAAAUCAGAGCAGGAAUGUCGUGCGCUCCACCUUGUCUCCUGCGCUAGUACCGCUGGAUGUGAGAAUAAAAUACAGCAUAAGGCAAAGUCUGCA